rnacentral:misc_RNA from 1 species
CUAAGGAGAUCAUUUCUCUUUCUCUAUUCUAUUGAUAAUGUUCUUGCAGCGUAUUAGCGCUGGACAACUUAUCAAAUGGACAUUGGAAACUAUAUAGUAGAUAAUACAAUUUUAACUCUUGUUUAUAUAAACAGAGUUAGCUGUCAAUCAAAUUAAACAAAAACAAAAUA